GGGAAAGGGUGUGUGUGUGUGUGUGUGUGUGUGUGUGUGUGUGUGUGUGCGCGCGCGCACGCGCGCAUGC
rnacentral:miRNA from 1 species